rnacentral:rRNA from 1 species
CCUACGGGUGGCAGCAGUGGGGAAUAUUGCACAAUGGGCGCAAGCCUGAUGCAGCCAUGCCGCGUGUGUGAAGAAGGCCUUCGGGUUGUAAAGCACUUUCAGCGGGGAGGAAGGCGUUAAGGUUAAUAACCUUGUCGAUUGACGUUACCCGCAGAAGAAGCACCGGCUAACUCCGUGCCAGCAGCCGCGGUAAUACGGAGGGUGCAAGCGUUAAUCGGAAUUACUGGGCGUAAAGCGCACGCAGGCGGUCUGUCAAGUCGGAUGUGAAAUCCCCGGGCUCAACCUGGGAACGGCAUUCGAAACUGGCAGGCUAGAGUCUCGUAGAGGGGGGUAGAAUUCCAGGUGUAGCGGUGAAAUGCGUAGAGAUCUGGAGGAAUACCGGUGGCGAAGGCGGCCCCCUGGACAAAGACUGACGCUCAAGUGCGAAAGCGUGGGGAGCAAACAGGAUUAGAUACCCCUGUAGUC